AAGGGUUGCCUCGCCGGUCGACCGGAGAGAGACGUCCGUCCAGGUGCGACGCCGAGAGAGCGCCGCGGACGUCCCCGGCGACAGCUGGAAGACUGGGCUCCCUUCUGCAAAUAUUGUGUCGACCUCAGAUCAGACGAGAAUACCCGCUGAAU
rnacentral:rRNA from 1 species